GCUUUCUUCGCGGCGGAGCUCGACCGCCCAUCCAAGUGAUCGUCGACUUCAUCGACGAGCACCGUGACGAGUUCGGAGUCGAGCCAAUCGUGCGCGCCCUGCA
rnacentral:ncRNA from 1 species